rnacentral:rRNA from 1 species
AUUGAACGCUGGCGGCAUGCUUUACACAUGCAAGUCGAACGGCAACAGGCCGCAAGGUGCUGACGAGUGGCGAACGGGUGAGUAAUGCAUCGGAACGUGCCCAGUCGUGGGGGAUAACGCAGCGAAAGCUGCGCUAAUACCGCAUACGAUCUAUGGAUGAAAGCGGGGGACCGUAAGGCCUCGCGCGAUUGGGGCGGCCGAUGUCAGAUUCGGUAGUUGGUGGGGUAAAGGCUCACCAAGCCAACGAUCUGUAGCUGGUCUGAGAGGACGACCAGCCACACGGGGACUGAGACACGGCCCAGACUCCUACGGGAGGCAGCAGUGGGGAAUUUUGGACAAUGGGUGCAAGCCUGAUCCAGCAAUGCCGCGUGCAGGAAGAAGGCCUUCGGGUUGUAAACUGCUUUUGUACGGAACGAAACGGUCUGGGUUAAUACCUCGGGCUAAUGACGGUACCGUAAGAAUAAGCACCGGCUAACUACGUGCCAGCCGCCGCAGUAACAC